rnacentral:lncRNA from 10 species
GCGGCCGGGCCGUGUCCUGCUCGCACCCGAGCGCGCGCUCCUCCCUCGCUGGAGCCGGGGGGCCAGGGGCCGCACCCGCAGCUGACUGGGAUCUUCCUGAUAUUCCAUCCCCUCUAUGGAUGGGGCCUGGGUGUCCAGCCCAGAUGUCUGGGUUCUGCGUGAAGGAGGCGCAGCAGGGGCCCAGCUGAUUCUGGUGUCUGAUGGUCUGGCCAGGCCGAAAAGAGGAUGUGCUUUACUGACCGGCGCUCUUCCUGGUACUGGAUUGGAGACAAGGCAUGAGAACCAAGGUCAGGGUGGAGGGCACUGUCUACCUUCUUCUCUGGUGCCUGAGGAGGGCAAGGGCUGGAAUUACCCUG